rnacentral:lncRNA from 1 species
UGACUACAGGCAUCUUGCCAUCAAUGUUCAGUCCUCUGUGUGCCACCUCGAUGGCCAGGAGGAACAUGAGAGCGCGCUGCCCCAUCCUCCAGGUGCUGCUUCUCUGACUGCUUGUUGCUGGCCAAAUUCUUCCAGUAUCUUCUGUGCCAAUUCACUGUGUGGUUCCAGAUCACGUGUCUUGUUGUUCAGAACUGGACUGUCUUACCGUUUACUUAAGUAUGGAAGUAAUCCCAAGCAAAACAAAAUAAAUGGUAAAGCAGCAUGCCAGCUGCUUUAGGAAUAUGUUGUUCUAAACUCAUGUUGGAAAAGGAAAGCCCACAGAGAGGUUUGAUGUCCAAAUCUAUCCAAGAAUUGAGCUUGCUGUGGAGCAAUGGCUUCCCAGGGCACAAGGCUGCCCACUGCCUCAUUCUUCUGCAGCAGUCAGGCGGGAGGAAUGGGAACCUGCCCAGAGCAUCAGCUGACACAUGGCCGGCAAUGGGCUGAGCCGCCGCUCCGCUCCCAGAGCCCUCUGCUUGCACCAGAAAUGAUUUCCCCUGAAAAGGUUAUGGCUUCUGCUCUAAUUUACGUGUGGAAAGGCCCGAAGAUGUGAUGUGAAGCAAUCACAUCUGCCAGAGCUUUUGAAGGCUGAAACAACAACACUUUGAUAAGAGAACAGCCGGUCUGCAUCUGCAGCAGUAUGAAGUGCAGUGCCUGAGUGAGUCCCUGCCGGACCCGCGCCGGGGGAGCAGCUGUACACAAACAGCCCCAUUUGUAAGGAAACCACCGCUGGGCCACCGUCCCAUGACAGGGCUGUAAGCACGAGGUUAUGCAAUGCUUUCUGUAAGGUGCUUUUAGUUCCUCAGCUUACCUCAGCCUACCCUUGCAUGCUCCAGAC